AUUUAUUUUAUUAUUUAUUUUUUGCUUGUGACAAAAGUGUUUCUAUAAGGGGAAAAGGGUUCUGUUUAGACAUGUUUGUGUCACUAAGUUGUGUUUAAUUUAAUGUUAUUGGUUGAAAAAUGACUUAAUCCCGCCUAAGGUCAAGUAGUGCAACUGUGAUUGGCCAGUGAGGUUGUCAGUCAACAGAGAGAAGCGAGUUGGAAAAAGAAGUGCGUUGGAAAAAGAAGUGCGUAGGUGAUGUUGUCGGCAUGAGAACAGAAAAUGCGUCACUUUAUAUGUGAAAACUGUUGUCAGAACUGUAUUGUUUGAGUGUUAACCAGUGGAGUAUUCUGUUGUGAAGUCAACACGACGCGAUUCAGAAGAAAUGCCGGUUUAACGCUUGAUCGUCUCUACAGCAAACGGGGCUAAGGUGCUUUGCUGGUGAGAAACUUAACUCAGGUUUACCACUUAAAUCAGCGCCAGUACGAGAGUUAUAGGUGAUCGGAGUGAUCGCCAAAGACGUUUGCUGCAUCGACUGGGAAGUGCAUUGAGGAAAUCCAGAUAGCGCUCCUAAUCGCCGAGUGGUUAGGAGUUCCUCUGGCUUCGCGGGAGUGUCAUGGAGUUUGCUGACGAAUCAUAGCCUCACGUGGACCGAUGUGACUGGUGUCGGGAUCUUUGAAUUCUUUCAAGUUUAUUCAGGCGGUCACGCAAUUCGCUGCAAACAGGAUUGUACGGUAAGUUAAUAUGAUUACAUGAUUAUUUACCUUUAUUUUUUUAAUAAGUUGUGGUUUAAAGCACAUGAUUUCACUGUUUAAUGCGAUAUUUGAUAUGUCGCGCGGGGUUCGCGUUUAUUCUGUGAAUGAUUAAGGAACGUUAAGUAGCAGCCUAUAGUGAGGUACUUUUUGCCUCAACAAUCGCUUUAUCGUUAAAUAAAAGUUGUGUGUGUGCACGUGCAAAGUUUUAUUCAUAUACAGUACACAUGUCCCUUUUCAACGCUUCAUGAGAACAGGCAUAGGUUAGUAAUACGGGGUAAGUUCAGGUACUGUCUACAUACUGUAUGGCUUUGUAAUGUUUUGUCAGAAUUAUGUCAUUUCGUACUAAAAUUGAUCUUUUAAGGUCAUAUUUUUUCAAGUCAAUGUCUGCGACGUGCCGAAUCCAACGUUAAAUCCGUCAUUGUUAUGUUGUGCAUUUUCGCACUCUUUUUUUUCCUCAGGUAGCUGCAUUAGCUCCGCUAUUCACCUUACUUUAACUAUCGUGGUGUUUAAGCAGUGGUGUAGUGCAGGGUAUACGCAGGUAUACGGCUUAUGUCCACUUCUUUAUCAGUUGGCUUUGCAUGUACCCACUUCUAAAUCCCCUCUGCUGUGCAUCGAGUGACAGUCCACCACAUGAAUAGCUAAUUUAAUCGCAUGUGAAUAUAUACAAAUAUUCCCUAAAAACACCCGGUAACGACAGUGAUGCGGUCAGAACAGUGGCUGGGCUUCCUUUUAAAUAUAUUUGAUGAUCGCGCCUAAACGCGCCCGCGCCCGCUCCGUCCACUCCUCCACACAGAUGCUGCCUGUUCACACGCGAGGGCAUGCCAGAGAAAACCCGACCGAUUUAAUCAGAAACUGCGGAGAAGCACGUGAUCACCUGAUCUGUGUUUAAACGAUUGUGCUGCAUGUAAACGCAUUAACCUGCUUUCUAUAUAAAAUAAGUUUUGUAAAAUUCUAAUUUUCUACAUCUGAAAUUUCAUUCUAGAUAUGUGAGAUUCUUGCUGGUGCAGAUGGACAGUUUUGUAAUAGAGAAGUUGAAGGAAAGGCAGCUUGAUACCCUGGUUAAAACCUUUGAAGAUUUCACAAGACUUCAGGAAGCUACAUCCAGAGGCAGACUUUUUGUAGACUGGGCUACAUUUUGCAAGAUGGAAAGGUGCAUUAAGAGCUGGAUGACAUCAGAUGUUAAAGGGGAGAGUGCUCAUUCUGUCCUGCCCAUUCUGGAGGAAGUGUCCACAGAACCACCACCACAGAAGUCUGGAAGCCAUUCAUUGACAUACAAACCUGUGCAGACCAGCAUGGUGGAUUUGUGCCUUGGGGACGAGACAACGACAUCCCAGACCUUCGCCCUUUGUUACGGACCGUGCCACUGAAGUCACUGACUUGUUGCCUGUGAAUUUCUCCAGCUUGCAGUAUAUUAUAUUGAUGGACAUAAGUCUUCAUGUGUGAAUUUUUUUUUUUUUUUUUUUUUUUUUUUUUUUUUUUUUUUAAAGGCCAACAGUUUUUGUAACGUUUUAAAUUGUCAUAUGAAUUGUCUGGUGGACACUUUGUUUGGCUUAGUUUUAAUCGCACAAUGUUUAGAAUGAUUCUCAUGUGGUAAUAAUUAAUUUUUGAGUGUUCUGCUGCUGCAAUGUUGACAAAGAACCGGAAUCUACAGUGCCUAGUUUACACAGUUUUGUGUUUUAAAGUAACUGAUCUACAAAAAUUGUUGUUUUAUGUGUCUGUAAUGGUCGGAUAAAAUGUUUGACAGCUGCACCCAUUUGAAAAUGGUUUUAAAAAGAAAUAAAACUCAUUAAAUUGAUGUUUACAUUUGCAUUUUUUUUGUGUGUUUUUCUAAGUGUAUUACAGAAAAGCAAUAAUAAUUGUACAUUCUUUUGUGAUUAUUUAUUAUUAUUGGUAAAUAUAAAGGUAGCAAGGCAAUAAAACAACAAAUAACCCAAUUUUUAGGUCAUGUUUAACCCAGCAACACAGUUAACCUGACCCACUGGCUGGGUCAAAUAAACAACCCAGCAUUCUGGGUCAAAUGGUUAAACCCAGCACUUGGGUCAAAACAACCCAACGCGUGUUCUGUCCCAUAGUUACCCAGCAGCUGGGUUAAGGUUGGGUUAUUUUUUAACCCAGCACUUUUUAGAGUGUAGUAUUCAAAUGUUUCAAGUAAUUAAGAACUUUAUUUCGCUUCACCGGGGAAUUAAAUCCCUUAACGUUCCAACUGGUGAAUUUCAAAACACCACGUGGUGCCACCUUAUUACUCAACUUUGGUAAGUACUGAAAAACAAGACCAGGUUCCUGAGAUGCCCCCCCAACACAGCCCAACCAAUAAUAAAUAUGGCUUGUAGCAUUUGAAGAUACAUAACACAGCAAUAUGAUUGCACAGAAAAAAAAAAAAAAACUUAAAUGGUACAUAACCUCAAUAAUAUUUAUAUCAAAAGUUACUGACAGACUUAAACUUCAAAACAAACCUAAUGUAGAAUCUGAGUAUGAACUAUUUAUGGGGAAGGAAGAGAGACCAAAAAGAAAUAGAUAAAAUAAUAUUAAACAAAAAAUAAAAACAUACAGAAUUUAAAGGUGCAAAAAACACUAGAUGCCCAAAAUUAACAAACCAUAGAUAUAUUCAGAUUAAUAAUUAGAACUGCAUGGUCUUUACAAAAAGCAAGCUUUUAACAAAGUGAUGUCAAUCACUUAACUUUAUCAAAAUUAAGGAACAGUCCAAUGUAACAUUCACCAUCCAGGUCAGGAGGCCAGAGAAUAAACAUGACAGCUCACAUCAAGCCCACCGCACAUACAUCUAGACCGAUCUCUGGAUAAAGUCAUUGGCUUCGGAAACAGAAGCCAACCAUUUCUUCUCACCGUUUGGAAGCGUGAUUCGCAAUCUUGCAGGGUACAGAAGCACAGGCUUCUGUCCGCGUUUGUAGAGUAACAACAUCACAUCCUUAUACUUGGCGCGAAGCUUUAAAACCUCAGGGCAGUAAUCCUUGUGGCCAUCAUACAGCAGCUCACCCUUUUUGUGAGAUUCACGGAUGACCAAUUCCUUCACUUGAAAACGAUGAAAUGAGAGAAAAAAAGCCGCCAGGCGCGGCCCUUCGAUUGACUCGGGUAAGCCCAAAAUUUGAAUAUUUUGGCGUCAGCUGCGGCUCUCAAGAUCUGAGACUUUAGCUUUAAGCCACUCGUUGUCUCUCUGGAGAGCCAAACAUGUAUCUCCGAGUUCUUCCAGCUGUUGACUAAUCUCUGUAGUGCCGGACUAGAGACAAAUAUCAUAGUACAACUGUCACAAAUCUGGCCUGUGGCCUUCAGUCCGCUCACCACCAGAUGCCGCUCUCUCAUUCUAUUGACAUUCACAUUACACAGACUGUUGUACCACACCAUGCACCACCUCACUGAUUACCCUCUCUACCUGUAUCCAAUUAGACUCGCUAUAAAUACGAGGCCCUUCCCACUGUUCUGCGCCGAGUACUGUGUGCGCUCAUCUCUGUGUAGCAAUAGCAACAUUACGGAGCCUGUUCCUAGUACCUAGUCACGUCGUGUUUCCUGAUUUCCUACCUGUCUUGGAUUUGUU